ACUUUAUACUUGCCGAAUGUCAUCACAAUAUUUUCAGCAUGUCUUCAAAAUGCAAUAGUAAUUAUACUAUAAUAACAAAGCAUGUACAUUGAUUCCACUGGAAAUCGUACUUGCCAGUCUUGCUUACGAAUUACAAA